rnacentral:lncRNA from 1 species
AUUAUUAUCUGACACGUCUCUCGUUAGAGUUCAGGUAGGACGGGUAUGUGAAAGCACCUGCUCCGCCCAUCCCUACCUGUAUGUCUCAUCAAGUGUUUCUUCUUUAUCUUGGAUUUUCUCUUUACUUUUUCUUUUUCUUCUUCCACUUCUUGUUCCUAAAGUUGUUCUUGUUCUUGUUCUUGCUGUGUUGUAAAUCUUGAUGCGGAGUGAAAUGGGCAGUGGCAGUAGUAGUAGUAGUUGUUGCAAUAGAGGUAUUUGUUUCUUUAUUGUUGGUUAGUUAUUUAUAAAAGUAAUAGAUUAGAGAUUGCUCUCACUCCCCGGAUAUAAGUGUGAAAUGAAUUUGUCAAAAUGUCUCUCAAUGCUAAUAUAAUGUUUAUAAUUUCUUUUUCAACCUUACCACAAAUCCCAAUUCAACUUUAUUUUCUUGUCAAAUUAUAUAGCAUUAUUCAUAAAAGAAAAAGAAAACUUUGUUUGUACAUUAUUGUUCAUAAAAAGGGUUAUAACAUUAUUCUGUAAUCAAGAGCACCAAUCCAGAUUUCACUAACCUUAUAAAAAUCCAACAAAAAAAAAUUAAAAAUUUACUAAUUAGCUACAAUUUAUAACAAAUAAUGAACAAUUAUUUUCUGUAAUUAGUGUAAGCUCCAUGACCUCUUUAGCUCUAGUGACCACGGCCUCUAGGGCUAGGUCCUGAAGCUAACCGUUCAAGCCAACAUGACAUGUGACUCUUUGCCUUUUCGUACACUGACGAAUACGUCUCCAAAUGGUUGGUACUCGCAAAAUCUUCCGGUAGCACUCUAGUCGCCUCGACCCUGACCUGGCUUAAAAUAGCUAAAGUAAUUAAGAAAAUAACCAAAAAAAUGGUUGUUUUUCUGCAAUUCAUCGUCUUGAUCCUCAAAAAAGGUAUAUAAAUUGCUGAGAAUUUUUUCAAAAAAUGAAGUUAAAAUUUUUGUAUUUUGUUGUACUAGUUUGUUUGCUCAAAACUAGCUUUUGGGGUGCCUCUUUGUGGAUUGUUUAUGUAUGAAGAGGAUGAGAUGCAAAGACAAGAGAGUUUUGAAGUAUUUAUAGUAUAGCACAACUGUUGAAGUCCUGUGUGUGGG